AUUGUUGAGGAUAGUUUUAGCUAUCCUGUUUUUUUUUUUAUUCUGGCUUUGUUGUUUUAUGAGAUCCCAUUUGUCGAUUCUUGAUCUUAGAGCAUAAGCCAUUGGUGUUUUGUUCAGGUAAUUUUCUCCCAUGCCCAUGUGUUUGAGAUUCUUCCCUAGUUUUACUUCUAUUAGUUUGAGUGUAUCUGUUUUGAUGUGGAGGUUCUUGAUCCACUUGAAUUUAAACUUUGUGCAUGGUGAUAAAAAUGGAUUGAUCUGCAUUCUUCUACAUUGUGAUCUCCAGUUGAACCAGCAUCGUUUGCUGAAAAUCUUAUCUUUUUUUCCAUUGGAUGUUUUUGGCUUCUUUGUCAAAAAUCAAGUGACCAUAGGUGUGUGGGAGUCUGAGUUUCUUAAACAUCUAAUUUCUACUU
rnacentral:lncRNA from 1 species